GUGGAUUAGAUACCCUGGUAGUCCACGCCGUAAACGAUGGAUACUAGCUGUUGGGCGCAAGUUCAGUGGCUAAGCGAAAGUGAUAAGUAUCCCACCUGGGGAGUACGUUCGCAAGAAUGAAACUCAAAGGAAUUGACGGGGGCCCGCACAAGCGGUGGAGCAUGUGGUUUAAUUCGAUGAUACGCGAGGAACCUUACCAAGGCUUAAAUGUAGAUUGACCGUUUUGGAAACAGAACUUUCGCAAGACAAUUUACAAGGUGCUGCACGGCCGUCGACAACU
rnacentral:rRNA from 1 species